UACGGAGGAUGCAAGCGUUAUCCGGAAUGAUUGGGCGUAAAGCGUCCGCAGGUGGCGAUGUAAGUCUGCUGUUAAAGAGUGAGGCUCAACCUCAUAAGAGCAGUGGAAACUACAUAGCUAGAGUACGUUCGGGGCAGAGGGAAUUCCUGGUGUAGCGGUGAAAUGCGUAGAGAUCAGGAAGAACACCGGUGGCGAAAGCGCUCUGCUAGGCCGUAACUGACACUGAGGGACGAAAGCUAGGGGAGCGAAUGGGAUUAGAAACCCCAGUAGUCC
rnacentral:rRNA from 1 species